GAUGAACGCUGGCGACGUGCCUAAUACAUGCAAGUCGAGCGAACAGAUAAGGAGCUUGCUCCUUUGACGUUAGCGGCGGACGGGUGAGUAACACGUGGGUAACCUACCUAUAAGACUGGGAUAACUUCGGGAAACCGGAGCUAAUACCGGAUAAUAUUUCGAACCGCAUGGUUCGAUAGUGAAAGAUGGUUUUGCUAUCACUUAUAGAUGGACCCGCGCCGUAUUAGCUAGUUGGUAAGGUAACGGCUUACCAAGGCGACGAUACGUAGCCGACCUGAGAGGGUGAUCGGCCACACUGGAACUGAGACACGGUCCAGACUCCUACGGGAGGCAGCAGUAGGGAAUCUUCCGCAAUGGGCGAAAGCCUGACGGAGCAACGCCGCGUGAGUGAUGAAGGUCUUCGGAUCGUAAAACUCUGUUAUUAGGGAAGAACAUACGUGUAAGUAACUGUGCACGUCUUGACGGUACCUAAUCAGAAAGCCACGGCUAACUACGUG
rnacentral:rRNA from 1 species